AACUCCCGACCUCAGGUGAUCCACCCGCCUCGGCCUCCCAAAGUGCUGGGAUUACAGGCGUGAGCCACCGCGCCCGGCCCUGUUUCUUAUUUUAUUUUGCUAAGUCUGCAACCCUAGUCCAGGUCUGGCCUCCAGCCCUCACCCCGCACACACACACCAGGAGCUACGGGUUCUGGGACAGAUCUCCCUAUUCUCUCUACCGUCUCAACCACAGAAGCCAGGAAAUGCAUCCAACCAACCACAGAACGGAAGGCUCUCAGGCAGGGGAUUGGUCCACAGCUAGUACCAGUCCUUGGCCAGUUAGGAACCGGGCCACAGAGCAGGGGUCCCGUCAGAUCAGCGGCGGCGUUAGAUCCUCAGGAGGAAGAACCCCAUUGUGCACUGCGCAUGCAGGGAUCUCGGCUGCUCCUUAUGAGAAUCUAAUGUCUGAUGAUCUGAGGGCCAGUGUUACCGGAGCCACACCCACCGGCCCAUCCCCGGGGCCACAGCCACCAGCCUACAGGACCGGGCCAUCCAUCUGUCCAUCCGUCUCCAGGGCCAGUGUUUACGGACCACGGGAGCCUGGCUUCUCCGCACCGCCCUCGGGGUCUUCACAGGUGUGCAUGGAUACGACCCCACCCUGCUCCUGAGAGGCCUGGCCAGGGGGUCCCACGACGCACAUCCCCCCAGCUGUGCAUGGGAAGGUGUUUGGGCCUCAUCUCCUCCUGAGGUCACGUCAAGCCUCUUGGCCGGUGCCCUGCGCCCUCUGGGAUCUGGCCCUUGAGAACUUUACAGUUUCGUCAUCCACGGAGGGUCCCCUUCUGCCCCACCGCAGUCCCGAGCACGGAGAGGCCCACCUUGUGAGCCGCAGCGCCUCGCCUCUGCCCAGCCCACGCAUCCUCUGAGCAAACCCUCCCCAGCUGGCUCUGCUCCUCGGAGCCCCUGAAGCCAGUCGUCUGCCCCCCCUCCCU